GAACUUCCUGCCUCAGCUUCCCAGAUGUGGGGGACUACAUAUGUGUGUCACCAACCUGGCUUUGGCUUCAUGCAGUGCUCUCAGACCUAUUACAUAAUCUGACCUCUGCAAUGAUCCUGUGAAGCAGGGAGUCUGAGCAGUACCUUCAGGCAUUAUAUACACUACCCUAAAGUCUGAGAGUUGCUUUUUCCUAGUGGCGAACUCCUUGAACUGGGCCCCUAGGCCUGGGCCUGGACCUGAUCCACACUUAACUGCAGGUAACUUCACACCACAUGAAUGGUGCUUUGUCAGAACUCAGUCAGCAGGUCUAUUUUACCUGGUCUGAACCUUUCUUAUUUUUCAGCUGCAAACCUUCUGUGCAGCCGUGGCCUGGUCUGGGGACAGCUGCACUUCCUGGGUUCCCUGGUGUCCUCUCCUUGACAACCUUCUGCCUGGGGGUGUGGGGGUGUGGAAGGGAUGGGGCUGAAGCUCCAGCCACUUCUAAUUCACCUCACCCUGCACUCCUUUGUAGAAAGCUGAAGGCAGUCAACACAUUCGCUUUUUCAAAGGAGCCCCAUCAACUUGACAUCAGUGCGAUUUGUGAUAAAACAAGAGUUCAGCUCCUUAGCCCAUCAGUUUUAGGAAAAAGACAGUUUGUCCACAUUAUCAGCUCCAGCUUUUUCCUCUGGACCUGGCUGUUCCCUCAGGGACUGCUGGGGGAGGGAGUGGCCUUUACUUACAUCUAAGUCCCUUCCCUUUCCAAGUCUUCCCACUGCGCCACCCCUCCCUUAUCCAAAGAAGUUACCCUUGUGUACUCUGGCUUAGCAGUGGCCAAUCAAUAACGCAGGGGUCCUGUUAGCAGUUGAGAAGAGCAAGAUGUUGUCUUACAAUUAAAAGCCCAGAUGAGAGGCAGCUGGAGUUUAAUAAAGGAAAUGCAGGAUCUUAUCCACUGGAGGAAGAUUUAGCGCAGGGAGGGCCUUGGACUCCACCCAAGAACGCCUUGUUGCUGGGCCACCCAAAAGGGCGCCUUGUAAGGCAGUUUCUUCUGCAAGGCAGGUCUGCAGUGGAUCCCGGGGGAAGCUUCAGGGACAGAGUGGGAAGCAUGUUUAAGAACGCCAGUAAAUGUCUGCUCAGCUCCACAUUCCAUCCGAGAGCCCUACAGUGCAGACUGAGAAGUUAUCAAAUCCUCCCGCACUGCUGCCCUGCUCCCUGAGGUUAUUGCUCAGCUCUCCCGACUCCCACGUGACCAUCUUAGCGUAUUCGACCGUUUUACUGGAAAAUUCUUCCUGGCAUGUAAUCCAAAUGUGCCUUCUGGCUGUUUAAUUCCAGGCUUUUAAAUUCUAUCUCCUUGAAGAAUUGUAGACUAGUCAGGCAUUUUCCAUUUAAUAACUAAUUCCCAAACUAUGGAGGAACAUUAACUUGUUCUUUGGAUUACUUUCUUCAGAAAGGAACUUAAGUCCUUUAAGACCCUUCUCCAAGGCUGCUGCUCUUGUAAAGCGCUUCCCGCAGCUCACAUCUUUCCAACAAUGCAGUGAUUAAAACUGGGUAAACUGAUAACAAAGAACCAGUGUGUCACUCACUGUUCUAGAACUUUGAAUAGGGCAGAAAGUUCUUAAAAGCAUUGCUAUGGGGCAGGGCAGUCUCUCAGGGUGUGCCAUUUUUCCCCUUUUCGACGUGAAAGUGUGGAGAGUGGUGUGGGUUGCGGUGGACCAGCGGCUUCUGUAAUGUGGAGGCAGCAUAGGCCGGAACUGGCCUCCUUCGCCUGGUUCCCUCCUGGGAAUAAUCGCCUUUCUUCUGAAGCCCAGCCAAGCCCGGGAUCCUGGCUGACGCCACUGCCGCGGUUCUAGACGUCUGCGAGCCGUCUGCAGGAAGCCCAGCUCCUGCUCGCUGGGCCGCCUGGGUUUGGGCCGUGCUCCGCGUCUCUCUCAGGUCCUCCACAGACGCGUCUGCACGCCAGGCUGCCCUCCUCCACGCCUGCGGCCGCAGCUUCCGCCCUGCCGCCUUCCGGCCCGUCCUUCUUUCCUUGCCGCGAGUCCAUCCAGUCCCAGCUCCCACACUUCCCCGGUCCAUCCUCCCGCCAUGCUCAGCCUCUGCCAACCGCUUUCCCUGGAGGCUUUUAGGGGUGGUCGCAGUUGUUUGAUGCACAGACUUGGCCUGCCCGAAGCUUCAUGCCGUUGCACCCAGAGUUCCAGUUGUGGGCGGGAAGAGGGUCAAGUAUUGUGAAAAAGCCAAGAAAUGUUUGCUUAAUGGGUUUUGGAGACUGGGUGUUAUUAUUUCACUAAUAAAAAAU